rnacentral:rRNA from 1 species
GACGAACGCUGGCGGCGUGCUUAACACAUGCAAGUCGAACGGAAAGGCCCUGCUUUUGUGGGGUGCUCGAGUGGCGAACGGGUGAGUAACACGUGAGUAACCUGCCCUUGACUUUGGGAUAACUUCAGGAAACUGGGGCUAAUACCGGAUAGGAGCUCCUGCUGCAUGGUGGGGGUUGGAAAGUUUCGGCGGUUGGGGAUGGACUCGCGGCUUAUCAGCUUGUUGGUGGGGUAGUGGCUUACCAAGGCUUUGACGGGUAGCCGGCCUGAGAGGGUGACCGGCCACAUUGGGACUGAGAUACGGCCCAGACUCCUACGGGAGGCAGCAGUGGGGAAUAUUGCACAAUGGGCGGAAGCCUGACGCAGCGACGCCGCGUGCGGGAUGACGGCCUUCGGGUUGUAAACCGCUUUCGCCUGUGACGAAGCGUGAGUGACGGUAAUGGGUAAAGAAGCACCGGCUAACUACGUG